rnacentral:rRNA from 1 species
AGCGAACGCUGGCGGCAGGCUUAACACAUGCAAGUCGAGCGGGCACUUUCGGGUGUCCGCGGCGGACGGGUGAGUAACGCGUGGGAACGUGCCCUCUGGGUCGGAAUCACUCAGGGAAACUUGAACUAAUACCGGAUACGCCCUGUUGGGGAAAGGCUUGCUGCCGGAGGAUCGGCCCGCGUCUGAUUAGCUAGUUGGUGAGGUAACGGCUCACCAAGGCGACGAUCAGUAGCUGGUCUGAGAGGAUGAUCAGCCACACUGGGACUGAGACACGGCCCAGACUCCUACGGGAGGCAGCAGUGGGGAAUAUUGGACAAUGGGCGCAAGCCUGAUCCAGCCAUGCCGCGUGAGUGAUGAAGGCCUUAGGGUUGUAAAGCUCUUUUAUCCGGGACGAUAAUGACGGUACCGGAGGAAUAAGCCCCGGCUAACUUCGUG